UAGUCAUCCUUGAGCAUGGUGUGCCCAUGUGAUGCACCUGAAAAUAUAGGAUGGUCAUGAGCAAUGGGUUGCAAAUGGAGUUGCAUCACCAGUGGGGAGAUGUGGUGGCCAAUAAAAUUUUUCAGGAUCUGGCCUUAGCUGUCCAUGGGCAAAUAAACAGCAGGCUGCAUCGCUGCCCUACACUCAGGUCUCUCUUCCAAGAGGGAGAAGAGGUUCUGACAAACCUUUCCUGGUGGUAAGUGCAACUGGUUGUGAUGUGACAGCUGGCAGAAAAUACAGGUGAGAGUGCUUCUUUACACAAACCAGAGUUCACACCCAAGCCCCUUCUCAAUCCUGUGUUUAGUGAUGUGGAUGUGCCUGCUGUAUGAAGGAAGUGCUGACUUUUGGCUCUGCUAGUGGUAACGAAGGGUUACAGAAAUGCUGAAACUCAAAAAUACAAACAUAAAUACCAGGCCUCCAGCCCAUCCACUGGGCAUUUCUAAUUGUCAGGUGAAUGGAUGAGAAGUGUUGUGAUAAAUGUCAUGUAUCUUUUGGGUUGUUACACAAUGGUGAUAAGGAAAAAGGCAAGACACAGAAAGGGGAAAGCUGAGGCUGCCUGUCUCUACUUGGGAAAUAACAAGCCCUUCAUUAAAAAUGCCUUUUAAAAUGUUAUCUGGAAUUUAUAAGAUGGCAGGGUUAGUCCUGAAAAGACUGAGUUUUGAAGCACCACUGGUGAAUAUUAUGUUGCUGCCAGGGCUUUGCACACACUGACACUCAGGAUCAGUGACAGACAGGCAAAAGCACAGGUAAAAGCUGGACAGAUGAGAAAGUGCUCCCAUGCUCAGCCUAUGCCAGUUGCUGCUGUCAGAAUGGCUUUCUGUCCUUGCAGGCAACUUGCAACUGGGCUUCAGCUCAGUGUUCCUGAUAUUUAAUUGCCAAAAUGAAAACCAUAUAUGUUUGUAAAUACUGGAUUACUCAGAAUGCCAUUGCCAAGGGGCCGAAAUACUAACAUAAGGUGAGACUGAUAGCAGUUUAAUUUUCCAGGUUGCACACUGUGGUGGCAAAGGCUUGCAUACAAUUCCCAUCUCUCCUAAUGCCUCCAUAUACAGACCUACAACAAUAAACCUCCUAAAUAGUCCCA
rnacentral:lncRNA from 1 species